UCUCCUCCUCCCUCGUCCUCGUCUCCUCGCCGCCGCCGUCACCUCCUCCCCGUCCCCGACCUCCUUCCGGGUUCCGGGAUGCGCCCUGAUUGAAUCGAUCCCUCCCAUCUCCUCCCGAUCCUGAUCCAGUCCUCUCCCCGCCACUCCAACCCACCCACCGAACCGAUCCCGCUACCACCCACCGAACGUAUCCCGAUUCUCCUCCGGUCAAGACCUUCUUCCCCCCGAUUCCCCCCAAUCCCAAUGACACCGACAACAUCCAUCCAUCCGCAGCUCUCCCUCCUACCGUGGGGAUGGAUGAGGAGAUCCCGCUCCCACCGAACCGAUCCCGCUCCCACCCACCCAUGGAUGGAUGUGGACGGGGCCAGGACGGCGCCGGCGCCGGAUCUGCACCCACCUGCGUCUCGAUGGGGCAGCACAACGGAGCGCGCGGCCGCGACGCCGCCCUCAUUGGGACGCCACCACCACGCGUCUGCGCCAUGGAAGACGAGGAGGAGUGCCUCCCUCCGUCGUACGGUACGCCGCCAUGGAAGGAGAUGGAGCUCCUCCCUUCUCCUCAACCACGCACACAAUAGGAGAUCGGCAAGGGUGGAGGGAGAGGAGGAGCUGCUCCGACCCACCCUACUGACGAUCGACACCGUGGAGGCUAUCACCAUGGUAAGCCGAGGUGCUGUGGGUGUCGAGGAAGACGAUGGUUCGGGUGAGACAGUGAAGAGAAGAUAGCGUGCAGAGCGGGAGGAUGUCGGUUCCAGCUGCGUAGAUUACUCAAGGCAGGAUUUGAUUCUGUACAAGGGGUUCAUCGUGCCAGGCUCCUCUUUUCUGAUGAUUCCAUGCAACGGUGGUGGCGAUGGUGGUGUUUGGCAUCGGCUACAAAAACACACCGCCAUGUCAUGUCAAUCAAGUUAAUUAGAUGUUGCUCUUUUCAUGUUCUGCUUCAUACAUACAUGCAUAUGUAAUGGCUCCCUGCCUCCCUGCCUGCUACAUCUCCGCUUGCAUAAAUCAAAGAGAAGAAAGAAACACCCAGCUUAAAAUAAUUGUAAUGAGCAGCACAUGCCUUUCAUUUUACAGGAUGGUCAUUGUAUCAUGAUAACUGGAUCAUAUCUAUGCCACAUACAAAUCAUUGAGCAGUGUUCCUGAUGGCCUGUUACCUUGAAUAAUAAU